UACGUGGGUGACAAAUGUCAUCCGGAGUUACUGGGCGUAAAGCGCGUGUAGGUGGGUUGGUAAGUUACUUAUGAAAGCUCCUGGCUAAACUAGGAGAGGUUGAGUGAUACUGCCAGUCUUGAAUAGAGGAGAGGUUGACGGAAUUCCGCGUGUAGUGGUGAAAUGCGUAGAGAUGCGGAAGAACACCAGUGGCGAAGGCGGUCAACUGGCCUCAUAUUGACACUCAGACGCGAAGGCAUGGGUAGCGAACGGG
rnacentral:rRNA from 1 species